rnacentral:rRNA from 1 species
CCUACGGGUGGCAGCAGUGGGGAAUUUUGGACAAUGGGGGCAACCCUGAUCCAGCCAUGCCGCGUGCGGGAAGAAGGCCUUCGGGUUGUAAACCGCUUUUAGCCGGGAAGAAAAGGCGAUCUCUAAUACGGGUCGUUCUUGACGGUACCGGCGGAAUAAGCACCGGCUAACUACGUGCCAGCAGCCGCGGUAAUCCGUAGGGUGCGAGCGUUAAUCGGAGUUAGUGGAGGUAAAGCGUGCGCACGCAGGUGAAAGCCCCGGGCUCAACCUGGGAACGGCAAUGGAAACUGGCGGGCUGGAGUGUGGCAGAGGGGGGUGGAAUUCCGCGUGUAGCAGUGAAAUGCGUAGAGAUGCGGAGGAACACCGAUGGCGAAGGCAGCCCCCUGGGCUGACACUGACGCUCAGGCACGAAAGCGUGGGGAGCAAACAGGAUUAGAUACCCCGGUAGUC